rnacentral:rRNA from 1 species
GUGCCAGCAGCCGCGGUAAUACGGAGGGUGCAAGCGUUAAUCGGAAUUACUGGGCGUAAAGCGUGUGUAGGUGGUUCGUUAAGUCGGAUGUGAAAGCCCCGGGCUCAACCUGGGAACUGCAUUCGAUACUGACGGACUAGAGUUUAGCAGAGGAAAGCGGAAUUCCGGGUGUAGCGGUGAAAUGCGUAGAUACCCGGAGGGACACCAGUGGCGAAGGCGGCUUUCUGGGUUAAAACUGACACUGAGGCACGAAAGCGUGGGUAGCAAACAGGAUUAGAUACCCUGGUAGUCCACGCCCUAAACGAUGUCGACUGGCUGUCGGGUUCAUUUGGAACUUGGUAGCGAAGCUAACGCGUUAAGUCGACCGCCUGGGGAGUACGGCCGCAAGGUUGAAACUCAAAUGAAUUGACGGGG